rnacentral:lncRNA from 1 species
ACACUGUUCUCCGCAAUUCCACCAUCCACGACUUCUAUGGCUUCCCUGAUCCCAUGUACAAGGUCUCUCUCUCUUCCUCUUUUUUCUUACCAGAACCCUAACUUUUGUCUCACCCAGAAUCUAGAUGAACUAGGUUUUAUCCUAAGCCCUACCCACCGUUGAAGAAACACAUCAAUUUUCAAUCUGUGGUCAAUUAUAUCAAAAAAGUUUCAAUCUAUUAUGUCAAUUAUAUCAAACGUUUCAAGUUUAUACAUAAGGAGGGUCAUUUUUGAAACUUGCAGCUGAAAUAUGAAGCACCUGGAGCUAUAUAUAAAAAAAACACGAAUUUGGGUUUGGUGGGGUGGGCCCGUAGGUUAAAAGAAAAACUGGAGGGACAAAAGAAAUGAAACCUCUAGAGUUGGUUGGUGAAACAGAGAGCAAGAAUCAAGAUUUGACCAAAAGCAGAGGAGAGAGAGAGAGAGAUUCAAUGGAGAGAGUGAAUCAAACGUUCUUCUUAUCUCAUGGCUCUCCUACAUUGAGCAUUGACGAUAGCUUGGAAGCGAGACAGUUCUUCAAAUCAUGGACCAACAAAGUUCUGCCACCGAAACCCAAAUCGAUCUUGGUCAUCUCCGCACAUUGGGACACAAAAGUUCCAACCGUCAACACUGUUCUCCGCAAUUCCACCAUCCACGACUUCUAUGGCUUCCCUGAUCCCAUGUACAAGGUCUCUCUCUCUUCCUCUUUUUUCUUACCAGAACCCUAACUUUUGUCUCACCCAGAAUCUAGAUGAACUAGGUUUUAUCCUAAGCCCUACCCACCGUUGAAGAAACACAUCAAUUUUCAAUCUGUGGUCAAUUAUAUCAAAAAAGUUUCAAUCUAUUAUGUCAAUUAUAUCAAACGUUUCAAGUUUAUACAUAAGGAGGGUCAUUUUUGAAACUUGCAGCUGAAAUAUGAAGCACCUGGAGCUAUUGAAUUGGGGAAGAGGGUAAAAGAAUUGUUAAUGGGAGAAGGAGGAAUGAAACGUGUUGAUGAAGAUAAAAACAGAGGACUGGAUCAUGGAGCUUGGGUUCCUCUUAUGUU